rnacentral:rRNA from 1 species
GACGAACGCUGGCGGCGUGCCUAAUACAUGCAAGUUGAGCGAUGAAGAUUGGUGCUUGCACCAAUUUGAAGAGCAGCGAACGGGUGAGUAACGCGUGGGGAAUCUGCCUUUGAGCGGGGGACAACAUUUGGAAACGAAUGCUAAUACCGCAUAACAACUUUAAACAUAAGUUUUAAGUUUGAAAGAUGCAAUUGCAUCACUCAAAGAUGAUCCCGCGUUGUAUUAGCUAGUUGGUGAGGUAAAGGCUCACCAAGGCGAUGAUACAUAGCCGACCUGAGAGGGUGAUCGGCCACAUUGGGACUGAGACACGGCCCAGACGCCUACGGGAGGCAGCAGUAGGGAAUCUUCGGCAAUGGACGAAAGUCUGACCGAGAAACGCCGCGUGAGUGAAGAAGGUUUUCGGAUCGUAAAACUCUGUUGGUAGAGAAGAACGUUGGUGAGAGUGGAAAGCUCAUCAAGUGACGGUAACUACCCAGAAAGGGACGGCUAACUACGUG